rnacentral:rRNA from 1 species
AGAGUUUGAUCCUGGCUCAGGAUAAACGCUGGCGGCGUGCCUAAUGCAUGCAAGCCGUACGGCCGGUUUACCGGCAGUGGCGGACGGGUGAGUAACACGUAAGAACCUACCCUCUAGUGGGGGACAACCCCGAGAAAUCGGGGCUAAUACCGCAUAAGCUCCUUGGUUUUUCUGAGGAGGAAAGCUCCGGCGCUAGAGGACGGGCUUGCGCCCGAUUAGCUUGUUGGUGAGGUAAUGGCUCACCAAGGCUGAGAUCGGUAGCUGGUCUGAGAGGACGAUCAGCCACACUGGGACUGAGAUACGGCCCAGACUCCUACGGGAGGCAGCAGCAGGGGAUAUUGCGCAAUGGGUGAAAGCCUGACGCAGCAACGCCGCGUGGGGGAUGACGGCCUUCGGGUUGUAAACCCCUUUUAUCAGGGAAGAUAAUGACGGUACCUGAUGAAUAAGUCUCGGCUAACUACGUGCCAGCAGCCGCGGUAAGACGUAGGAGGCAAGCGUUAUCCGGAUUUACUGGGCGUAAAGGGCGUGUAGGCGGCUCGUUAAGUCUCCGGUGAAAUCUCCCGGCUCAACUGGGAGGGUGCUUGAGAAACUGGCGGGCUUGAGGGCAGCAGAGGGGAGUGGAAUUCCCGGUGUAGUGGUGAUAUGCGUAGAUAUCGGGAGGAACACCAGUGGCGAAGGCGGCUCCCUGGGCUGUUCCUGACGCUGAGGCGCGAAAGCGUGGGGAGCAAACAGGAUUAGAUACCCUGGUAGUCCACGCCGCAAAUGAUGGACACUAGGUAUGGGGGGUAUCGACCCCCUCCGUGCCGUAGUUAACGCUUUAAGUGUCCCGCCUGGGGAUUACGGCCGCAAGGCUAAAACUCAAAGGAAUUGACGGGGGCCCGCACAAGCAGCGGAGCGUGUGGUUUAAUUCGAUUCAAAGCGAAGAACCUUACCAAGGCUUGACAUGCAUGGGAAAGGCAGGGAAACCUGUCCCUCCUUCGGGACCGAUGCACAGAUGCUGCAUGGCUGUCGUCAGCUCGUGCCGUGAGGUGUUGGGUUAAGUCCCGCAACGAGCGCAACCCUCGUCGCCAGUUGGAUUUUCUGGCGAGACUGCCCUGCAAAACGGGGAGGAAGGUGGGGAUGACGUCAAGUCAGCACGGCUCUUACGCCUUGGGCUACACACACGCUACAAUGGGUGGUACAGAGGGAUGCCAAGGGGCGACCCGGAGCUAAUCCCAGAAAACCAUCCUAAGUUCGGAUUGCAGGCUGAAACCCGCCUGCAUGAAGCUGGAGCUGCUAGUAAACGCAGAUCAGCAUGCUGCGUUGAAUACGUUCUCGGGCCUUGUACACACCGCCCGUCACGUCAUGGAAGCUGGCAACACCUGAAGUCGAUGGGCUAACCCUCACGGGAGGCAGUCGCCUAGGGUGGGGCUAGUGACUGGGACGAAGUCGUAACAAGGUA